UACGUAGGGUGCAAGCGUUGUCCGGAUUUAUUGGGCGUAAAGAGCUCGUAGGCGGUCUGUCGCGUCGGAUGUGAAAACCCAGGGCUCAACCCUGGGCCUGCAUUCGAUACGGGCAGACUAGAGUGUGGCAGGGGAGACUGGAAUUCCUGGUGUAGCGGUGAAAUGCGCAGAUAUCAGGAGGAACACCGGUGGCGAAGGCGGGUCUCUGGGCCAAUACUGACGCUGAGGAGUGAAAGCGUGGGGAGCAAACAGG
rnacentral:rRNA from 1 species